GUUCUGGAGAGUCUCCUCGGUCCUCUGUGACGCUCACCCUUCUCCUGUGCUAGACUUGGUAUGCCUGUGUCCAGCUGCUAUGUCUACAUUCUGGCUGUGGUCCUCCCACGACCACUACCUCAGCCUGAGUAAGGGCCUGUGGGAAAACUCUGUGGUUUCUGUUUGGGGAGGGUUCUGUUCCUAGCUAAUUACUGUCCCCAAAAGAGAUUACCUGGUACUGAGGAUGACAAGAGUCUAUGGAAGAGGCCACCAUGUGUCCUGGGCUGGGAUCUGGGUCCUAAGGGGGGGGGGUCAGCAUCUCCCACACAAAGGAGCAUCCCCAGAGGAGGUAGUAAUAUGUGAGGAGGAGCACCCCUUCCUCACCGUGUACCAGCACAGGGCAGCUACACAGACCGUACCCCAACCCCAUUAGGUUGAGUGAAGCCUCAAGUCUGUGACAGGAUCUUCGAACACACAGAUUGGCCUUCAUCAUCUACCACUCUCAGGUUUGCUGGGCCCAGAGAGCAGUUAGACUGGUUGCCCCCAGAACCAUAAAAAGGCAAGUCGGGGGCCUCACAGAGUGGAGCUGAGGAACAGUCAGCCCAGGCUCCAAGGCCUCGGGGUUCUUUUUCUUUUUCUUUCUGUCCACCUAUUUCUUUUUCUUUUAUGUGUCUGUGUGGAGUUUGACCUUGCAUGAAUGUGAGGUCCCAUGUCUUCCUCAACGACACUGCCUUCUUGUUUUGUUUGUUUUAGUUGUUUUGGGGCGGGGUGUUUGUUGUUGUAUGUGUGUGGGUGUGUUGUGUGUGUGAGCGAGAGAAAGAGAAAUAGGCAGACACACACACACACACACACACACACCAGACAGACAGACAGACAGACAGCCUAACCAUGUAGCCCUGGCUGGCCUGGAACUUGCUACAUAGACCAAACUGGCCUCAAACUCGCAAGUCUGCUGACUUCUCCCUCUCCAAUGCUGGGAUUGGGAUUAAAAGUGUGUGCCACCAUGCCUGGCUGUCCGCCUCAUCUUUUGAAACAGGGCUUCUCACUGAUCCUAGACCUCACUAAGUGGAUAGGUAGGCUGGCUCAUCAGUAAGCCCCAACAACCCUACUUUCUCUGCCUCCCAGGCACUGGAAUUGCAAGAAUUUAUCUCUGUGUCUGGUAAUCCCAGCACCGGGGCUGCUGGGAAUCCAGCUUAAUCCCCCUGCUCCCUGGAAUGCACUACCAGCCCAGCCAUCCCCACACCCAUUAAAGCGUGGCUACUCAGAAGCACGCGCCAGUGCUCUGACCCUUCCCAAUGCUCGAGAGACCGCUUUCUGGUAAGGCAGAAGAUGGUGACAGCUAGAGAGACAUUUUUAAUUGUCCCCCCUCGGCAGAGGUUAAGGGUCUUUAAGGGAGCAGUGAAUGUCAUCAUCCCAUUUUACAUGCUGGGGAGAGGUGUGGUGACGUGCUCAGGAACACAUCUGAAGAGAAACAGGCCAGGUUGAACUCUGACUCAGAGGGCUGCUGGGUCCUGCCUGGAGCGUGCUCCUCUUAGCAGCCAACGCCUCUCCACAGAGCCAGAGGCAGCCCUGGAAUGGCCGACUCAGGCCCUCAUAGAAAGAAAGGCUUCCUGUGCAGCUGACUGGCUGAGGUUGGGUUUUCUUGGUUCUCUGAAGCAAGUGGUUUGAAGCAACCUUUAAAAUCCAGGGUCAGGGGACAACCACUCCCUUUGGCCUUGAUGUCAAGGGAGUUUGUGGCAAACUCAGAAAAGGCUUUUAGCCUGACAAGCCUCGCCUUCUUGGGGCACAAAAAAACAACAUCUGAAUUUCCAUAUAUAUUCUUAACGGUUAAUAACCUGAAAUCUUCAACUCCUAAACGUUCUGAUGGAGCCCGUUUCUUCCUUGUUCUUUUCCCUACAAGACCCGGCAGGCAACUCCAGGUGUUGCGUCUGUUGCUGCUAUGUCAAGGGUCACCUUCAAGAUACACAGAGGGCACCCCAGAACUGAGGAGGGCACCUAGGCAGCAUACGGCCUGUUGCUUACAAUCGGAGUCAAAGAUUACCAAGGUCAUUGUGGGCUUCUGUCAGGAGAGAGUCUCACUAACAUGAAUGGCGUCUGAUGAUUAUCCUGCAGGAAGCCUUGCUAACAGCUGCCCUGUUGUACUGGUUUAAGGAGAACAAAAUGGCCUCGGCGGCUAGAUGCCGUGGCGUGACCCCAAACACCGACCUGGAGUUCUCCACCCACGAUAUCUGAGCAAGGGGGCUAGAGUGCUUCAUUUGAAAAGCAGGGCUCAAGGAUAGGGAGGCAGAGAGAAAAAAAUCUGGGUUUUCUGUUUUUCUGGGGUCUUUUUCGGUCUCAGAGAGGUAAACAGACCCCACUCAUGUCUAAGCAAAGGGAGAACUGUGAUCCCCACACAGCAAGGUAAGAGGCCCCAUUUGGUUUGGUUUUUUUUUUUUUUUCUCCUUUUCAUCACUGUGAAAAACAACCCUGGAACAUUGAAAAAAAAAAAAAGGCAGUUUGUUGCGCAGUAAAAAAUAAAGAAUCUAGUCUUUUUCCAUUAAAGUGUCUGCAGCAGUCGGCCUGUGAAAGCGCUCUAGUGCCAUCUAGAGAUUCUGCACUGAAAGGAUUCGAAUGUUCCAGAACCUUCCAGUCCCCGUUUCCAAGGCAAUCGCUCACAGCCUGCAGUGUUCUCAUCUCCUGCUUUCCAGCGCUUGGCAUCUGCUCCCCUCUGAAUUCCCGAGAGACCCAGCUGACCCCCAUCAAGUGGGAAAACUGUGCAGGGCCAGGAGCUGGCGCCUGAACCAGCCAUACUUUUACCUCCCACCGCCCUGGGGCCUCCCCGGGGGUGGGGGGCCCUUGCAGUUCUUGCCUGCAAAGCAGGCAGAAUUAACUCCAUCGCCCCUGGCCUGGCCUCUUUGAGCUCUCCAAAUGUCACUUAGCAACAAUUAGGUAAUUAGGGGAGCUAAUCAACCACCCUGAACUCCUACUGCAGCCUCUGCCUGGGCAAUUUCAAAGGCUCACAAGAGCUCUCACCCCUAGACCUGCCUUGCUGAGCCUUGCUGAGCCUUACCCAAAGGGCUCCGAUUUCAGCCCCUAUGCCAGUACUGCUUCUGACAUGUGUUACCAUUUAACAUGGGAGGAAGGGAACCAGGAUGAGGGGAACUUCACCCUCCAUCACCUGCAUCGCUGGGGCACCACAGCCUAGGCACCCAGAGCCCACUCCGGAAACCGGUCCUCCCUUAAGGAAAGCACCCACUCUCACUUCCUAUAGGGAGACAGUGUUUCUGGGUGCUUUUCUGGGAGUGUUUUCUAUAACACAGAAAGGUUUAUUAUUUCACAGUUAUUAAUGUUUUGUUGUGAACUACACCAUUUACUUGUCAGUAGGUAGUAAAGGCUACAGGUAUUUCUGAUGGUCACUACAGGCCUGAUUUCUGCUCAAUGCGUGUCCAAGAUGCUCUGAACACCCGGCUGCAUCCAGAGAGCUCCACUAAAAAUCUUAGAGCAGCCGCUGGUGUUGGGUACUGACCAAGAAACCAGACCCACAGACUAGGAGUGUAUACCAAUGGAUUCUCGCAAAUAGACACAUGUGUUGGUCUCCUCAUGGCACAAUUUGGAGAACUACAGAUGGAAGGGCUUGAAACAACACAAAUUUGUUAUUUUACCACCAACAUCAUCUCUUUUGUGGAGGUCGCAGUUCCUAAGAGCCAAAUGGCUGCAGGAGAGAGCGCCCCCUGGAGGCCUCAGGAAAAAAUGUUUGCUUUUGCCUUUCUCAGCCUUUCCUUGCCACUUGCUACCUAGGACCCCAGGCCACCACCCUCCAUCUUCAAAGGCACUGCUGGGUGCAGCCUGUAUAAAUCAGAGUCCCGCGAUUGCUGCUGCUCUAAUAAGAAGUCUUAGGCCUUGUCACACCUGCAAAGUCUUUGUCGUGGAGCUUGCAACGUUAAGGUUUGGGCUUGGACUCCACCCACCCCCGAGUCCAUCCUGACUUUUCCAACGCAUGAUUAAUUCCUUAUUCUCAGAGUUAAUGAUUUGUAGAGUAAAGCCUUCUUUAAUAAAGGCUACAUAUAAA